rnacentral:rRNA from 1 species
UACGUAGGGUGCAAGCGUUGUACGGAUUUAUUGGGUUUAAAGGGUGCGUAGGUGGCUUUUUAAGUCAUGGGUGAAAGCCCGCAGCUCAACUUUGGAAUUGCCUGUGAUACUGAGGAGCUUGAGUGCGGUUGAGGCAGGUGGAACUGGUGGUGUAGCGGUGAAAUGCAUAGAUACCACCAGGAACACCGAUUGCGAAGGCAGGUUGCUAAGCCGGAACUGACACUGAGGCACGAAAGCGUGGGGAGCAAACAGG